rnacentral:rRNA from 1 species
AUUGAACGCUGGCGGCAUGCUUUACACAUGCAAGUCGAACGGUAGAGGGGCAACCCUUGAGAGUGGCGAACGGGUGAGUAAUGCAUCGGAACGUGCCCAGUGGUGGGGGAUAGCCCGGCGAAAGCCGGAUUAAUACCGCAUGAGACCUGAGGGUGAAAGCGGGGGAUCGCAAGACCUCGCGCCAUUGGAGCGGCCGAUGUCAGAUUAGCUAGUUGGUGGGGUAAAGGCCUACCAAGGCGACGAUCUGUAGCUGGUCUGAGAGGACGACCAGCCACACUGGGGCUGAGACACGGCCCAGACUCCUACGGGAGGCAGCAGUGGGGAAUUUUGGACAAUGGGCGCAAGCCUGAUCCAGCCAUGCCGCGUGCGGGAAGAAGGCCUUCGGGUUGUAAACCGCUUUUGUCAGGGAAGAAAUCUUCUGGGCUAAUACCCUGGGAGGAUGACGGUACCUGAAGAAUAAGCACCGGCUAACUACGUGCCAGCCGCCGCCGUAAUAC